CCUACGGGGGGCUGCAGUAGGGAAUUUUCCGCAAUGGGCGAAAGCCUGACGGAGCAACGCCGCGUGAGGGAGGAAGGCCUUCGGGUCGUAAACCUUUGUCAUCGAGGACGAUAAUGACGGUACUCGAGGAGGAAGCCCCGGCUAACUACGUGCCAGCAGCCGCGGUAACACGUAGGGGGCGAGCGUUGUCCGGAAUUACUGGGCGUAAAGGGCGCGUAGGCGGCCCAAUAAGUCAGAUGUGAAAGUCCUGGGCUUAACCCAGGGAUUGCAUUUGAAACUGUUGGGCUUGAGGACAGGAGAGGAAAGCGGAAUUCCCAGUGUAGCGGUGAAAUGCGUAGAUAUUGGGAGGAACACCAGUGGCGAAGGCGGCUUUCUGGACUGUCCCUGACGCUGAGGCGCGAAAGCCAGGGGAGCGAACGGGAUUAGAUACCCCAGUAGUC
rnacentral:rRNA from 1 species